GAGGGUUUUACUGUCUCUUACUUCCAAUCAGUGAAAUUGACCUCCCCGUGAAGAGGCGGGAAUGAAUUAACAAGACGAGAAGACCCUAUGGAGCUUUAACUAACUAGUCCAAAAGAAAUAAAUUUAACCACCAAGGGAUAACAACAUCCUUUAUGGACUAGCAGUUUUGGUUGGGGUGACCUCGGAGAACAAGAGAUCCUCCGAGCGAUUUUAAAGACUAGACUUACAAGUCAAAUCAAAUUAUCGCUUAUUGAUCCAAAAACUUGAUCAACGGAACAAGUUACCCUAGGGAUAACAGCGCAAUCCUAUUCAAGAGUCCAUAUCGACAAUAGGGUUUACGACCUCGAUGUUGGAUCAGGACAUCCUGAUGGUGCAACCGCUAUCAAAGGUUCGUUUGUUC
rnacentral:rRNA from 1 species